rnacentral:misc_RNA from 1 species
GAUGAAGAACGUAGCGAAAUGCGAUAAGUAAUGUGAAUUGCAGAAUUCAGUGAAUCAUCGAAUCUUUGAACGCACAUUGCGCCCGGCAGUACUCUGCCGGGCAUGCCUGUUCGAGCGUCAUUUCAACCCUCAAGCCCUGCUUGGUGUUGGGGCCCUACGGCUGCCGUAGGCCCCGAAAGGAAGUGGCGGGCUCGCUACAACUCCGAGCGUAGUAACUCAUUAACUCGCUUAGGGCGUUGGGCGGCGCUCCAGCCGUUAAAGAACCAUCUUUAACUCAAGGUUGACCUCGGAUCAGGUAGGAAUACCCGCUGAACUUAAGCAUAUCAAUAAGCGGAGGA